UUCGGAUAGUGCUAAAUAUUC
rnacentral:piRNA from 1 species